AGGCGCGCUUUGGGUCCCACACUGGGGCAAUGGCUGGCCCAAGCGGGCACGUUGCGGGCCUUCCAAGAUGUGGGCCGUGAGCCUUCAGUGGAUUAUAAGGAAGUGCCCAUGCAGCAGAAAAGAGAAAGGAGGGAAGCAGUGAAGGAGUCUCCCUAGCUGAUGACAGAGGUGGAAAAGAGCGACAGUGACCCAGCUCCAAAGAGAACGCAGGACGCCUGAAUCUUGCCAUUUUUUGUACAACAAAUUCUCUUUCCUUUUCUGUGAAGUGAAGUGAAUAUAAUUUGUGGAAAUUCAAGGUGGAAACUUGCAGAUACCCUGGCCCAUCCCCUCAUGCAUACUUCAAUAUCCACUGCCUAAGAGUCAGGACAUUCUUCUAAGUGACCGCAGUAGCUACCACACUGAAGUAUUAAACAUUUCCCAGUUAUCUCUCAAAUGUCAUUUUUGUUUAUUAUUUUUUUCCCCAAUCCACAGAGCCAAUGUGGUCAAGAGCCACACAUUGCAUUUGCUUAUCGUGUGCUUUUAAGCUCUGAUUUAGUACCACCACCCUUGCUUUUGUUUUUCAUGACAGUGGCUUUUUUUUUUCUUUUAAGAUUUUAUUUAUUUGACCGGGAGAGAGACACAGCCAGAGAGGGAACACAAGCAGGGGGAGCGUGGAGCAGGGAACCUGAUGCAGGCGGGGCUGGAUCCCAGGACUCCAGGACCAUGACCUCUGCUGAAGGCAGUCGUGUAACAACUGAGCCACCCAGCAUGGUUCCUCCCAUCGUCCACACAGGGAGGGCACAAGGGAAACCCAGAUGCCCCAUGCUGCACUGGACAUCAUGAUAAACUGCCUGAGGGCUCCAGACACUCAGGCUUGAGAUAGAGGCUUCUUUCUUGGAGACCUUGGAGCCAUGAAGCGUUCCCAGGUUGGGUACUCCUGGGUUCUUCUGCCCUGAACCAGCAGCCCCAGCAGAGUCUCAAGGGAGAGGCUCCAUUCAUAUGCAGUGCUCCACUACAGACCUAGUGUUCUAGAGAACUGCUCUGUGCAAGUGGUGGGCUGUGAAGGAUCCGGACGGGUCAAAGACAUGGCAUCAAAGUUCAAGUUGUUUUAGUCUAUCUGGGGAGGCAGAAAGAGACAGGUGGAGAGAUGAAGAAGGGAAGUUAACGAGGAGGAGACUAAGGGGGCAGAGGUUCAGAGCAGUAGCUGUGGGGGUGGGAGCUGGAGCAUCUGGGAGGGCAUGCAGGAGGUGUGAGGGAUGGGGCAGGAGCUCUGCGUGGUGGGAGGUGGGAACUGGCAGGGUGAGAGCCAGGUCAUGGCAAGAUUGGCCAGGGUAUCACGGGCUUCAGAAGACCAUUUGGUAAGAUGGGAAACAACCCAAACUGUCCAUCUGGAGAUGACUGGUUAAGUAAAUUAUGGCACGUCCACACAGUGCAACUCUAGAGAUGUGAGUCAGCCGACUGUGUCCAGUUAUCUCUCAGAUAAACUGAUAAACUGUGGACAAAACGGUGUGUCGUUUGCUACCAUUUGGGGCGAGAUAAGUAUGAUCUUAUUUGUAUGGGUACAGAAAAACUUUGGAGAGACCUUACAAAACUAAUAGAAGUGGUUACUGGAGGGUGGGUAUGGGGGGAACUGGGCAGAUGGGGGGAUAGAAGUGGGAGGGAGAACUUUGACCAAGUACAUUUUUAUACUUUUUCAUUUUCCAACCAUGUAAAUGUAUUUGCUGUUCAAAAUUAAAGAAAAAAGUGUGUCAACUAUACUUCAAUUAAAAAUAAAGAAUAGGGUGCCUGGGUGGCUCAUUUGGUUAAGCAUCUGCCUUUGGUUCGGGUUGUGACCCCAAGGUCCUGUGUCGGGCUCCCUGCUCAGUGGGGAGUCUGCUUCUCCCUUUCCCUCUGCCCCAUCCCCGGCUUGUGCUCUCCAUCACUCACUCUCUCUCCCAAAGAAAUAAAUAAAAUCUUAAAAAUAAAAAAAAAUUUAAAAAAUUAAAAAUUAAAAAAAAAUAAGUAGGUGCCUGGGUGGCUCAGUGGAUUAAGUCUCAGGGUCCUGGAUCUGAGCCCCACAUAGGACUCUCUGCUCAGCAGGAAGCCUGUUUCCCCCCUCUCUGCCUGCUGCUCUGCCUGCUUGUGAUCCAUCUCUCUCUGUCAAAUAAAUAAAUUCUUUAAAAAAAAAUCUAAAAAAAAAAAAGAAAAAAAUAAGUAGGCAGGAGAGUCUAGAAAUAUGGUCUAUGAACCAGCAGCAUCAGUAUCACCUGGAAACUUACUAGAACUGGAGAAUCUCCUGGAAAUGGAGAAACCCCAUCCCAGACAUUGGGCAACCACUCUUGGGCCUCGGUUUGUUUGUCUGUCAAACAGGCUAUUAAUUUAAGGUUGUUAUGAGAUGCAAUGAGCUGAUGGGUUAAGGCACCCAGCAGAGGAUGUAGGUUUUAACAAGGUUCCCGGGUGACUCAGGACCAUGUUAAGGUUUGAGGAGCUCUGGCCUAGAAUCUGUGGUUACCAGGAGCAGGCACUGGUGACUGAUAACAGCUGUGGGGUUUGGUUUGUUUGUUUGUUUUUGUUUUUAAAGAUUUUAUGUAUUUGACAGACAGAGAUCACAAGUAGGCAGAGAGGCAGGCAGAGAGGAGGAAGCAGGCUCCCC